GACAAGGGGCGGAGCGUUAUCGGAUUGACUGGGCGUAAAGGGCGCGUAGGCGGCCUCCUAAGUCGAACGUGAAAUCCCCGGGCUCAACCCGGGAACUGCGUCCGAUACUGGGAAGCUUGAAUCCGGGAGAGGGAUGUGGAAUUCCAGGUGUAGCGGUGAAAUGCGUAGAGAUCGUAAGGAAGACCAGUGGCGAAGGCGGGUCUCUGGACAGUUCCUGACACUGAGGCACGAAGGCCAGGGGAGCAAACGGG
rnacentral:rRNA from 1 species